AUGCGUAUCCAGUUUAUGGAUAGAAGAAUGAAGCCCACAGAAAUGAAGGAAUGUGUACAGAUGCUGGUUCCAUCUAGAAGCUCUGCAAAUGGUGCAGUGGCAUCCAAGAUAAUGAUGUUGAGUAGAGUCUACAGACAGAUACAGGCUGGGAGAUGUGCAUUCAAUGCUGCCAAGCUGUAUCACACCAUGAUCCUGCAGCCCAGCAAGACCAGCAGACCACUGGAAUAUCACCAAGCCCACAUUGAGCUGUGCAGUCUCCAUAAAUAUAUCACAGGGAAGAGAAUCAGGUGCCCUCCUUUACAUCCACCUAAUUCUUUGAAGCUGCCACUUUUCAACCACCAGGUGCUGAGAGGUUCCUAGGAAGGGCAACAGACCUCCAGAAGCCAAGAAAUG
rnacentral:lncRNA from 1 species